GGUGCAUGGUAGACGGGUGAGUAACGCGUAGGGAAUCUACCUUUUUGUGGGGAAUAACGCUCCGAAAGGAGUGGUAAUACCGCAUGAGACCGCAGACUGGGAUGUUUGUGGUGAAACCUGGGGACCGCAAGGCCUGGGGCAAGAAGAGGAUCCUGCGUCUGAUUAGCUAGUUGGCGGGGUAAUGGCCCACCAAGGCGACGAUCAGUAGCUGGCCUGAGAGGGUGAUCGGCCACACUGGAACUGAGACACGGUCCAGACUCCUACGGGAGGCAGCAGUGGGGAAUUUUGCGCAAUGGACGAGAGUCUGACGCAGCAACGCCGCGUGGGUGAUGAAGGUCUUCGGACUGUAAAACCCUGUCGUCAGGGACGAAGGUAUGGGAGUUAAUAGCUCUUAUGCUUGACGGUACCUGGAGAGGAAGCCCCGGCUAACUCUGUGCCAGCAGCCGCGGUAAUACAGAGGGGGCAAGCGUUAUUCGGAAUUAUUGGGCGUAAAGGGCGCGUAGGCGGUUUUUUAAGUCAGAUGUGUAAUCCCCGAGCUCAACUUGGGAACUGCAUCUGAGACUGGAAGGCUAGAGUACUGGAGAGGGUGGUGGAAUUCCUCGUGUAGCGGUGAAAUGCGUAGAGAUGAGGAGGAACACCAGUGGCGAAGGCGGCCACCUGGACAGUAACUGACGCUGAGGCGCGAAAGUGUGGGUAGCAAACAGGAUUAGAUACCCUGGUAGUCCACGCUGUAAACGAUGAACACUUGGUGUGGAGGGAGUUGACCCCUUCCGUGCCGGAGCUAACGCGUUA
rnacentral:rRNA from 1 species